rnacentral:rRNA from 1 species
GUGGGGAAUAUUGGGCAAUGGGCGCAAGCCUGACCCAGCAACGCCGCGUGAAGGACGAAGGCCUUCGGGUUGUAAACUUCUUUGAUCAGGGACGAAACAAAUGACGGUACCUGAAGAACAAGCCACGGCUAACUACGUGCCAGCAGCCGCGGUAAUACGUAGGUGGCGAGCGUUAUCCGGAUUUACUGGGUGUAAAGGGCGUGCAGGCGGGCUGACAAGUCGGAUGUGAAAUUCCCGGGCUUAACUCGGGCGGGUCAUCCGAAACUGUUGGUCUUGAGUACUGGAGAGGAUAGUGGAAUUCCUAGUGUAGCGGUAAAAUGCGUAGAUAUUAGGAGGAACACCAGUGGCGAAGGCGGCUAUCUGGACAGUAACUGACGCUGAGGCGCGAAAGCGUGGGGAGCAAACAGGAUUAGAUACCCUGGUAGUCC